GCUCUCUCAGCUCUGCAAAGUUACACCUGACCUGACACGUGUAGCUUUCGUAACGGGGAGAAAGAGAGAAGAUCUCCUCGGGACUUCAGAUGGGCCUUGCUGUGGCCUUUCUUUCCUUGAGGGGCGCAACAGGU
ensembl:snoRNA